CAUAACGACUCUCGGCAACGGAUAUCUCGGCUCUCGCAUCGAUGAAGAACGUAGCGAAAUGCGAUACUUGGUGUGAAUUGCAGAAUCCCGCGAAUCAUCGAGUCUUUGAACGCAAGUUGCGCCCGAAGCCUUCGGGCUGAGGGCACGUCUGCCUGGG
rnacentral:rRNA from 2 species